GUCUCCAGAGAUGGUGUGGAGAAGUGAGGAGGGAAUGGGGUUGAGUUGAUGAGGGAAGUUAGGAAGGGGAGGUCUCCAGAGAUGGUCUGGAGAAGGGAAGAGGGAAUGGGGUUGAGUUGAUGAGGGAAGUGAGGAAGGGGAGGUCUCCAGAGAUGGUCUAGAGAAGGGAGGAGGGGUUGAGUGGGCAGGUUGUCGGGCGGACGGACAUCACUAAUCGCAGGAUUUUAUCUGGAGUGAGAGGGGAGAAAGAGGUCAAGGCGUAUGGUAGUUAUGGAGAGAGAGGGGAGAAUGAGGUCAAGGCGUAUGGUAGUUAUGGAGAGAGAUGGGAGAAAGAGGUCAAGGCGUAUGGUAGUUAUGGAGAGAGAGGGGAGAAAGAGGUCAAGGCGUAUGGUAGUUAUGGAGAGAGAGGGGAGAAAGAGGUCAAGGCGUAUGGUAGUUAUGGAGAGAGAGGGGAGAAAGAGGUCAAGGCGUAUGGUAGUUAUGGAGAGAGAGGGGAGAAAGAGGUCAAGGCGUAUGGUAGUUAUGGAGAGAGAUGGGAGAAAGAGGUCAAGGCGUAUGGUAGUUAUGGAGAGAGAGGGGAGAAAGAGGUCAAGGUGUAUGGUAGUUAUGGAGAGAGAGGGGAGAAAGAGGUCAAGGUGUAUGGUAGUUAUGGAGAGAGAGGGGAGAACGAGGUCAAGGUGUAUGGUAGUUAUGUGUGAGUGGGACCAGUGGACUCAGUAGGCUGAGUGAAUGAGGAGCAGAUGCCCUCUAGUGACCACUAUUCCAACACUAUAGUCAAUUACUUUGGGCCAAAGUCUCCCAAAGCUGUCUAAUACAUCUGGUCUAAAGUAGUGCACUAGGAAGGGAACAGGGCUCUGGUCUAAAGUAGUGCACUAUGAAGGGAACAGGGCUCUGGUCU
rnacentral:lncRNA from 1 species